AUGAGGCUGCUGGAGAGAAUGAGGAAAGAAUGGUUCAUGAUUGGAAUAGUACUGGCGAUCGCGGGAGCAAAGCUGGAGCCGUCCAUAGGGGUGAAUGGGGGACCACUGAAACCAGAAAUAACUGUCUCCUACAUUGCUGUCGCAACAAUAUUCUUUAACAGCGGACUAUCAUUAAAAACAGAGGAGCUGACAAGUGCUUUGGUGCAUAUAAAACUGCAUCUUUUUAUUCAGAUCUUUACACUUGCAUUCUUCCCAGCAGCAGUAUGGCUUUUUCUUCAGCUUUUAUCAAUCACACCCAUCAAUGAAUGGCUUUUAAAAGGGUUGCAGACAGUAGGUUGCAUGCCUCCGCCUGUGUCUUCUGCGGUGAUAUUAACCAAGGCAGUUGGUGGAAACGAGGCAGCUGCAAUAUUUAACUCAGCCUUUGGAAGUUUUUUGGGCAUCGUUGUCACACCCCUGCUACUGCUGCUUUUUAUUGUCCGAAGAUACAUCAAGGACUGGCUCGAAAGAAAGCAGCCUCCUUUUGGUGCCGUCAGCAGCAGCGUGCUCCUCAUGAUCAUCUACACAACCUUCUGUGACACAUUCUCGAACCCAAGUAUCGACCUGGAUAAAUUCAGUCUCCUUCUCGUACUGUUCAUAAUAUGUUCUAUUCAACUGAGUUUUAUGCUUUUAACCUUCAUCUUUUCCACAAGGAAUAAUUCGGGUUUCACACCAGCAGACACUGUAGCUGUCAUGUUCUGUUCUACACACAAAUCCCUCACGUUGGGAAUCCCAAUGCUGAAGAUCGUGUUCGCAGGCCACGAGUACCUCUCUUUAAUAUCCGUCCCCUUGCUCAUCUACCACCCAGUGCAGAUCCUCCUGGGAAGCGUGCUCGUGCCAACAAUAAAGUCCUGGAUGGUAUCAAGGCAGAAGGGAGUGAAAUUGAUGAGGCCAACCGUAUAACAAAGGAGGCGGUCGUUCCGCAGCCAUGUAUAUAUGUACAGGAUUGUACUUACAGUUCUGAAGACUUGUAUUUGUGAACGUUGCUUCGAUGCAUAUUUUAUUUUUUUACACACAAAAAAAUAUGAUAUAACUGUUUAAAGUGCCUUAAAAUGUAUUUGACGAGAGCAUUAUUUCCAAAACCUCCUUUGUUGGUUACUGCCAGGGGCGGUACAGUAUUUUGGAGUUGUUUAAUUUUCUUUUUUCCUAACGCAGAAAACGGCCAUUGAAGGUGACAAAAAAACAAGCACGUUUUCCUCGUACCAUCUUUCCUGCAUUUCAGCUCUCUCCUGGUUACGAUACUGUUUGAAAUGAGGUCACAUCAUCAGGAAAAUGCCCUUCCCAUGACAGUGAAUAUUUCCAAAAUCUUAUUUGAUUUACCACAUGAUUCUUUCUUUUUCUGCAACUGUGACAUGCCUCUUCCUUAUCAAC
rnacentral:lncRNA from 1 species